rnacentral:rRNA from 1 species
AGUGAACGCUGGCGGUAGGCCUAACACAUGCAAGUCGAACGGCAGCACAGUAAGAGCUUGCUCUUACGGGUGGCGAGUGGCGGACGGGUGAGGAAUACAUCGGAAUCUACUUUUUCGUGGGGGAUAACGUAGGGAAACUUACGCUAAUGCCGCAUACGAACUACGGGUGAAAGCAGGGGAUCUUCGGACCUUGCGCGAUUGAAUGAGCCGAUGUCGGAUUAGCUAGUUGGCGGGGUAAAGGCCCACCAAGGCGACGAUCCGUAGCUGGUCUGAGAGGAUGAUCAGCCACACUGGAACUGAGACACGGUCCAGACUCCUACGGGAGGCAGCAGUGGGGAAUAUUGGACAAUGGGCGCAAGCCUGAUCCAGCCAUACCGCGUGGGUGAAGAAGGCCUUCGGGUUGUAAAGCCCUUUUGUUGGGAAAGAAAAGCAGCAGGUUAAUACCCCGCUGUUCUGACGGUACCCAAAGAAUAAGCACCGGCUAACUUCGUG